rnacentral:rRNA from 1 species
UACAGAGGUGGCGAGCGUUGUUCGGAUUUACUGGGCGUAAAGGGCGCGUAGGCGGCGUCGUGUGUCGGGUGUGAAAUCCCAGGGCCCAACCCUGGAAGUGCGCCCGAAACUGCGACGCUAGAGUGCGGGAGGGGAGAUCGGAAUGCAGGGUGUAGCGGUGAAAUGCGUUGAUAUCCUGCAGAACACCGGUGGCGAAGGCGGAUCUCUGGAACGCAACUGACGCUGAGGCGCGAAAGUCGGGGGAGCAAACAGG